rnacentral:rRNA from 1 species
GAUAAACGCUGGCGGCGUGCAUAACACAUGCAAGUCGAACGAAGUGGCGAACGGUCGAGUAACACGUGAGUAACUUGCCUUACACAAGGGGAUAGCCUAUGGAAACGAAGAAUAUUACCCUAUAGUGUAAGAUGGACUUGCGACUGAAUGGAUAGUUGGUGGGAUAAAGGCCCACCAAGGCAACGAUCAGUAGCCGGCUUGAGAGGGUGUACGACAACUUUGGGAAUGAGACACGGCCCAAACUCUACGGGGGGCAGCAGUGGGGAAUGUUGCACAAUGGGGGAAACCCUAAUGCAGCGGCGCCGCGUGAUUUAGAAGGCCUUCGGGUUGUAAAAAUCUUUUAUAUGGGGUGCAGUACCCUAAGAGUAAGGUCCGGCUAGAUACGUGCCAGCAGCCGCGGUAAUUC